GACGGAGGAUGCAAGCGUUAUCCGGAAUGAUUGGGCGUAAAGCGUUCGCAGGUGGCUAUUCAAGUCUGCUGUCAAAGACCGGGGCUUAACCCCAGAGAGGCAGUGGAAACUGAAUGGCUGGAGUGCAGUAGGGGUAGAGGGAAUUCCCAGUGUAGCGGUGAAAUGCGUAGAGAUUGGGAAGAACACCGGUGGCGAAAGCGCUCUGCUGGACUGCAACUGACACUGAGGGACGAAAGCUAGGGGAGCGAAAGGG
rnacentral:rRNA from 1 species